ACAGCUAAUUAAUUAAUUACUACUCAACUAAACCAAAAUAACUAAGUAUAUAUCAAUAUAUGCAUGCACUUUUAAAACAAAGCUAGUAGCUGUGUUGCAGUCGGAAUAAAUGAGAUAACUAAUAAUCCCUCUGUCCUGUUGUAGUAGAGUCAUAUUCUUUCGACGCGAAGAUUAAGAAAAAAUGACAUUAUUAUAGUGGAAUAUUCUAAAAUGAAAAAAUAACUCAACUAUUUGGAACGUAGAAAAUAUAUGUUUAAAUAAUUAUUUUUAAUAAAAAAAUAUUAAAAUUUAAAUAGCACUAUGUUAUGUUGUGCAUGAUAAUUGGCUUCAAUGAGUAUUCAAAAUCUGAAAACAACUAAAUAUAAUUUUAUUAUUAAAAUUAUCAUGUGAUAGUUUGGAUAUAUUUAAUAAAAUUACCAAAAGUCAAAAUAUAUUCAACUAAUAAUCCUUUAUGAUAUACUAUAGCACUUUAAUAUAGUCUCAUUAAGAUAAGCAAAGUAAUGAAAUCAAUAACCAGUAUAUUAAUUAUUAUGUUUAUUUAAAAUAGGAUAAAAAUGAAUUUACGGAUUAGAGAAAAGAAUAUACUCCAAUUAUUGACUAGUACUCCUACUACAAAGUUGAAAAAAGAAAAUGAUAAAAAUCUCUUUAUAGAAAAAGUAAAAAUAUCAUAAUUAAUGUUGAAACUUAUGCAACAGUUUUCGUAUUCAAUAUUAUGAAGAAAUAAUUUAAUAUUGGAACUGAUAUUAAAAUAUUAGGUAAACAUGAAUUGGGCUUUAAUUAAUUUGUAGUAAUAAUUGAAAAAGACCCAAUCAAUAUAAAACUAAUAUAGGAAACAGAACCCAUCUUCUCUAGCCGCCAGAGAUUACAACAGAAUUUAUAAAAAUAGAAGCUGCAAAAUUGUAAUGGAAAAAUUCACAAAACCUGAUUGCGGCAGCAAUGGAGCCAUAUUCAAGCAGAUCGAUUUGGAAGAGGCGAAGUCGGGAAUCAGCUCCUUCCAUGGCUUCCAAGUGCUUUGUUUCUCUCUCGUCUGCUAGAUCUUUGACGGUGGCGCGGACGGUGUAGCCACGGCGGAGAAGAAGGUGGACGAUCCAAGAGCCAAUGAAGCCGCUAGAGCCAGUGACACAGACCACUUCUCCUUUCUUAUCCGCCAUUGUUGUAUAUUUGUAUUGUGCAUUUGCGUGAUCACAACCUCUAUAUAUAGCUAUACAAACAACAAGGAUAGAACAUCCUGCAAACAGAAAUUGAUGCUGCACGCAAUAUGAUUUCAUCUUCACCACCCAUCCUUAUUCUUAUUCUUCAAAUUACCUUGCGGCUGUGGCACUGCUGGAAGGAAUAAAAUGUCAAAUCACCUGAUGGUUUGUACAAGUAUAUUUGAAUGAGGGUGUCUUUCUUGUUUGAUACUAGUAUAUGGCUUCUCUUAUUUCGCAAUAUGUAUAUAGUUGAUAAUGGAUAAGGUAAUCCUUAUCUCAUCAUCACUAAUACCAUGUUUAUCUAUAAUUCCAUUCUUAUCUCUAAUUUAGUCUAGAUUUAUACAUAUGGCGAGAAUAUGUCUUAGCCAGAUAGCUUGGCUUGUUGUUAAUGCUGCUGCGACAUAUUCAGCUUCUGCUGAGGAUUGUGCUACCCAAUCUUUCUUUUUUGAUGAUCAUGAGAAUAUGCCCGAUCCAAGCAAUGAAGCCGCUGGCGCGGGUGACGCAGGCUUCCUUACCCGCCAUGUGGAGUGGAGAAAGUAAUUUUGCUUUAAGUGUGGAAUGUUUUGAAUUGAAAAGUAAUUAUGCAAUGUUUGUAUUCCCACGUCCUACUUAUGUUUGUUAACACCAACA